AAAAACUGUGAAUCUUGAAAAGCUAAACUGACCUACAAUUUAAGACAGAGGGAGUACAUAGUCAGCAAGCUCAUUAAUUUGGUUAGCUACAACUAAACUAGGUGAGAUACUAGUUAUGGGCUAUGGGUUAGUGGAAUAUGGAACAAUAACAUGCAAAUUAGAAUCUCUAGUUUCAUAAACAUGGCCAUCCGAUUUUUGAAGAUUAUGCUGAUCUUGGUGUGUUUGACCUUCAAAAAACUUCAACGGCACACCAAAUUGUGGUUGUACUGAUGGGGGUAUUGUUUAAGGACAGGAAAAUGUAGGUUUUGGUGGAAAAUCAUAAGAGGUAGAUGUAUCAUCAUUACCAACCACAACUUUACCCUUUUCCUUAUUAUCAUCUACCAAAACAAGUACUGAAUCUAAUAAGCUCAACUUAAAUUCAUCAAACAUAUUUUGAACUUGACCAACCAAACAUUACUAAAGAAGAAGAUGAUGAAUUACUCACAUCCGUCUUUACCUAAGGUGGUACAUCCUUGAUACAAGGGAACAUAAUCUCCUUCACCUGAGUCACCGUGCCUCGAUGAUUCACCUCAAAACAUGUAAGUAUUUCUUGUAAAUCUUUCUCUUCAUGCUUCUUCUUGAGCCACAACUCUUCUUCUUAGUUCGCCUUCUAAUUUUCUUCAAAGUUCCAGUGAACAUCUUCAAUCAGCC
rnacentral:lncRNA from 1 species